AUUGAACGCUAGCGGCAGGCCUAACACAUGCAAGUCGAACGAGUGGCGGACGGGUGAGUAAUGUCUGGGAAACUGCCUGAUGGAGGGGGAUAACUACUGGAAACGGUAGCUAAUACCUCAUACCAUUGGAUGUGCCCAUAUGGGAUUAGCUAGUAGGUGGGGUAAAGGCUCAACCAGGCGACGAUCCCUAGCUGGUCUUGGAGGAUGACCAGGCACACUGGAGUGGGGACACGGUCCAACCUCCUAAGGGAGUCAAGACUGGGGAAUAUUGCGCCAUGGGCGGAAGCCUGAUGCACCCAUGCCGCCUCUAUGAAGAAAGCCUUCAGGUUUUAAAGUACUUUCAGCGGGUAAGCGUUACCCUCAGAAGAAUCACCGGCUAACUCCGUUCCAACCGCCGCGGUCAUAC
rnacentral:rRNA from 1 species